rnacentral:rRNA from 1 species
GGUGGGGUAACGGCUCACCAAGGCGACGAUACAUAGGGGGACUGAGAGGUUAACCCCCCACACUGGUACUGAGACACGGACCAGACUCCUACGGGAGGCAGCAGUGAGGAAUAUUGGUCAAUGGACGCAAGUCUGAACCAGCCAUGCCGCGUGCAGGAUGACGGCUCUAUGAGUUGUAAACUGCUUUUGUACGAGGGUAAACGCAGAUACGUGUAUCUGUCUGAAAGUAUCGUACGAAUAAGGAUCGGCUAACUCCGUGCCAGCAGCCGCGGUAAUACGGAGGAUUCAAGCGUUAUCCGGAUUUAUUGGGUUUAAAGGGUGCGUAGGCGGUUUGAUAAGUUAGAGGUGAAAUUUCGGGGCUCAACCCUGAACGUGCCUCUAAUACUGUUGAGCUAGAGAGUAGUUGCGGUAGGCGGAAUGUAUGGUGUAGCGGUGAAAUGCUUAGAGAUCAUACAGAACACCGAUUGCGAAGGCAGCUUACCAAACUAUAUCUGACGUUGAGGCACGAAAGCGUGGGGAGCAAACAGGAUUAGAUACCCUGGUAGUCCACGCAGUAAACGAUGAUAACUCGUUGUCGGCGAUACACAGUCGGUGACUAAGCGAAAGCGAUAAGUUAUCCACCUGGGGAGUA